rnacentral:rRNA from 1 species
UACGUAGGGGGCGAGCGUUGUCCGGAUUUAUUGGGCGUAAAGGGCGUGUAGGCGGCCUGGUAAGUCGGGGGUGAAAACCCAGGGCUCAACCCUGGGACUGCCUUCGAUACUGCUAGGCUUGAGUGCUCUAGAGGGUAGUGGAAUUGCCGGUGUAGCAGUGAAAUGCGUAGAUAUCGUAAGGAAGACCAGUGGCGAAGGCGGGUCUCUGGACAGUUCCUGACGCUGAGGCACGAAGGCCAGGGGAGCAAACGGG